UGUUCCCAUUCCGAACACAGAAGUUAAGCUCUCUAGUGCUGAUGGUACUUGGUGGGAAACUGCCUGGGAGAGUAGGACGUAGCCACGU
rnacentral:rRNA from 1 species